AGGACGAACGCUGGCGGCGUGCUUAACACAUGCAAGUCGAGCGGAAAGGCCCUUCGGGGUACUCGAGCGGCGAACGGGUGAGUAACACGUGAGCAACCUGCCCUUAGCUUCGGGAUAGCUCCGGGAAACCGGAAUUAAUACCGAAUAUGAAUGCGGCUGACAUCAGCCACAUUGGAAAGUUUUCGGCUAGGGAUGGACUCGCGGCCUAUCAGCUAGUUGGUGAGGUAACGGCCCACCAAGGCGACGACGGGUA
rnacentral:rRNA from 1 species